rnacentral:ribozyme from 1 species
UGCCCAGCAACUCCUAUCCCUACCUCCACGCGGUACCGGCCGGAAACUAUGAGCAACCUUAGGGAAGAUCGGGUCACCAACCCCGGUGGGAACUUUGGUCGUAGGCUGACAGGGAAGG